AGCAGUAGAGCACUGCUCUAUGUAGAUUAGAGCAUACGAGCUGAGAUAGUUACUUCCACAUUAUUCUAUAUACUAUAUAGUUUUAUAGGCAGAGGAAAAGUUUGUAUGAGAUCCAUAUUUGACAUUAUUGCUAAAUGCACAUAUCCUUUAUAGAUGCCCAUUGCUGAGUUAGUAUGAAACAUUUAAAAUAUAUUUAAUUAUAGAGCUGAUGAUGAUGGUUUGCAUCCUGAUAGCAUCACUAUUAUGAAGAGAUGAUUGAUCGUAAUGUCUAAUUCUAAGCUAAGAGCUGAAUGCACUGAAGAAAACAGAGCUUGUGUUUAUGUUUCCAAAGCAACCGGCAUUGGGACGGACGUGGGAGCGUGGCAUGCGUGUGCGGGAUGACGUCAUCCGGACCCGCCGAGCGGACAGGCCGGGGACAGUGAGAGGUUACUGGCGCCGGGCAGGGGCUAGAGCUGUUUCUUACAUAUUACUCUCAAACAGCUCUUUUGCCACUCACGAGAGCUAAUGGAGUGGUGCAUGUAUGAUUAAUCUCAUAACCAUCCGUGUGUGCUGUAGCUCCACCCCUGCUGCUCCUCUUUUCACUAACCCUUUGCAGACGGUUGAACAACAUUGGAACCUAUGUACUAAGUCAAAUUCAGUAUGAGGCAAUAUUUGUUCCUGUACACAGUAAGAGGAAGAUGCAUAAUUUGCCAUAAGCAACUUGUGGUCAUCUCCCCCUGUCUUUGUAUGCUUACUGGCAGUUCAGAUUACCAGCAUGUACUGUAUAUCUCCUUCUAGCCAGACACCUCUUCCAAUAUACAGCUGUCUAACAGCAAUUUACUUACCACUGGGUUUUGGACCUGGUACCUGAAAUGCACAUGUGUGGAUCACUCUCCCUUCAUUUUUGUGAAAUGCCAUGUACUGUUACACUUUGUGGAACUUGAUGUAUAUGGCCACAUUGCAGCUCCAUAGAGACCUGUAGGGACCACAGUUCUGCAGGACUGCAGGAAAUAUCUCUGUUUGGGGAUUUAUAUGUGAUGCAGUAGAACAUUUUUUCCAUUUGACUCAUACCACCAUAGGGGACUUUUCAUUAUCCAGGACCGAUUGACCCACAUUAACUAAUUAUCCAAGUGACUGCUAGUUGUGGAGUUGUGGCAGUGGAUACUAAAGUGCCAGAGCAAUUUCAGCAUUGCUCUGGGUGUUGAACAACUGCUCUGAAUAGUAUUUGUCCCACAAUCCCUAUAACUGACACAUUCAGAGCAAAUUACUAGGGGUAAAAGUUUACACAGCUGAGGCAGAGGAAUUCUUUCAUCUUUGCUCUCCAGAAGUCCUUCCAAUAGGAAGGAGCAGGUCACUGAGAACAAGCACCAUCUGUAGAUGUGUCAGUACCGAAAGCAAAUUCCCAAAACCUACAGUUUUUGGAGCUUAUUAAAACACCAAAAGAAUCAAUGAUUUACUUGCUGGCCAGCAGUAUCUAGUGGCAAGAAUAAAUAUAAACUCCCCUCAGAUGAGAGAACGUGUACUUGGAAAAAUGAUCUGUUACACUAUCAGAGUUAUAGUAACUUUGUAUCAAUCCACGUUUAUAACUUUGUAUCUGUCGGUAACAGAGACUAUUGCACAUUAUUGCACAUUAAAUGUGUGGAGAUAGACGGCUGCGAGAAGCAUGUACAAAGUGUCCAAUUACCUCCUUUUAUAAAUACAGCGGUGUGGUCCUGCCCCAAAGCCGAGCGUCCUCGGGUAUAAUUUGUGUGUCCACGGGGGUUGCCUUUCUCUUGUCACCAGCUGUAGGAAUGAUGUUCCACAAAGGAGGGUACUGAAUCUAGCCCCUGAAGCUGGCGCUUAUUCCAGCCGAGCUGAUUAAGUUGAUGGCGGGUUGGACGGAUGGCAAAGUCCAAAGGCGGUCCCGCUGCGCUAAGCCGUGCACCUCCGUGUUUGCCAAAAGCACUGCUGCAGUUACAGGAUAGUGGGCGGAGACUGACGCGUUUUGUCACGGAAUCACGUGACUUUUUCAAAGUGAUACCUCCUCACCCACAGGGAGUUACUUUUAAGAGACUUUAAUUAGUGCCUAUGGCUGUGAGACUUCACAGGGAAUUUUCCAUUCAAACAGAUAUACGUGAUUACUAACAUUUUACCGGCUCUGUAGAAAUAUUCAGAAAUCUGAUCUUCAAUUUACGUGUUGUCCUACCAACGUAAAUGAGACCACAGGCUCCAGAAAAGAUCCCGUCAUUCAAUUCGACUGAUCAACAGCCAGAUUCCAGCUGUGCCUAGAAAAUAAUCCAACAUCAGAUUCUUAGAUAUUGGGUCAAGAACUAUUGUUUUAUUUCAUGCUAUUAGAAAUAAGCUUAACAAUUGUAGUAUUUGUCGUCAUACCACUGAAAAUAAAAUGUACAAUACUUUAAUGUAUGACUGGCAGAAAGUAUGGACGAAUAUUGGUGCAAGAUUCUGAGCCAAGAGCAUCACCUUUCAAAGUAAACAUUAUUUUGAAAGACAGUGGUGCUUGAAAUGUCAGGACAUGCUUGUUUGGAAGGAAGUAUAAGACAGUAAUCAUGAAUUGUAAUUAGUGGAUUUUGCCAACAAAUAAUAGAGUGGAAGCCUUGAGUUUAAGUGCAGGUAGGAUACAAGAGGGAAAGCUAAGUUUUAGACCUUUAAAUUGUAUGCUUUGAUUCACUAAGAAAAUAUCAUGACAGCUGCUUUUAAAUUAUACAGUA